UACAGAGGUCUCAAGCGUUAUUCGGAUUCAUUGGGCGUAAAGGGUGCGUAGGCGGCGCGGUAAGUCGGGUGUGAAAUCUCGGAGCUUAACUCCGAAACUGCAUUCGAUACUGCGGUGCUUGAGGACUGGAGAGGAGACUGGAAUUCAUGGUGUAGCAGUGAAAUGCGUAGAGAUCAUGAGGAAGACCAGUGGCGAAGGCGGGUCUCUGGACAGUUCCUGACACUGAGACACGAAGGCCAGGGGAGCAAACGGG
rnacentral:rRNA from 1 species